GAUCAAGCGACUAAGUGCAUAUGGUGGAUGCCUUGGCGAUCACAGGCGAUGAAGGACGUAGUAGCCUGCGAAAAGCUACGGGGAGCUGGCAAACAAGCUUUGAUCCGUAGAUGUCCGAAUGGGGAAACCCACUGCAGCAAUGCAGUAUCCCUGACUGAAUACAUAGGUUAGUGGAAGCGAACCGGGUGAACUGAAACAUCUCAGUAGCUCGAGGAAAAGAAAUCAACCGAGAUUCCGAA
rnacentral:ncRNA from 1 species